rnacentral:tRNA from 2 species
GGGCGUGUGCUGGAAUUGGUAGACAGGGUGGUCUCAAAAACCACUGGUGGCAACACCGUGACGGUUCAAAUCCGUCCACGCCUACCA